GUCGAGCGGAACGACUUAACUGAACCUUCGGGGAACGUUAAGGGCGUCGAGCGGCGGACGGGUGAGUAAUGCCUGGGAAUAUGCCUUGAUGUGGGGGAUAACCAUUGGAAACGAUGGCUAAUACCGCAUAAUCUCUUCGGAGCAAAGAGGGGGACCUUCGGGCCUCUCGCGUCAAGAUUAGCCCAGGUGGGAUUAGCUAGUUGGUGAGGUAAUGGCUCACCAAGGCGACGAUCCCUAGCUGGUCUGAGAGGAUGAUCAGCCACACUGGAACUGAGACACGGUCCAGACUCCUACGGGAGGCAGCAGUGGGGAAUAUUGCACAAUGGGCGCAAGCCUGAUGCAGCCAUGCCGCGUGUGUGAAGGAGGCCUUCGGGUUGUAAAGCACUUUCAGCAGUGAGGAAGGUGGUGUCGUUAAUAGCGGCAUCAUUUGACGUUAGCUGCAGAAGAAGCACCGGCUAACUCCGUGCCAGCAGCCGCGGUAAUACGGAGGGUGCGAGCGUUAAUCGGAAUUACUGGGCGUAAAGCGCAUGCAGGUGGUUUGUUAAGUCAGAUGUGAAAGCCCGGGGCUCAACCUCGGAACCGCAUUUGAAACUGGCAGGCUAGAGUACUGUAGAGGGGGGUAGAAUUUCGGGUGUAGCGGUGAAAUGCGUAGAGAUCUGAAG
rnacentral:rRNA from 1 species